rfam:Aedes aegypti strain Liverpool supercont1.115 genomic scaffold, whole genome shotgun sequence.
GUCAUGGGGGACCGCCGCUACCUCGCUUUCACUUGGUACCGAUUUCCCAUAAUCCAUGUGAUGUGACGUAGUGGUACCUUCCCUUGG